GCUCCCAGAAUAUCUCAGAUUCUAUGUUAUACCUGCCUAAGUUAUGGGAGUAGAUUCCAUGCUAGAUUCUUUGACUGAGGGAGAAGAAUUAGCUUCGAAGGACCCCACUGUGAUCUCUAGUCCAAGCUAUGGACUUAUGCGUUCCGUGAUCUGUAACGCUCAUAUUCUACAAAAAGAUGUUGUGCAAGUAAUUGACACAAGCAACCCAUGUCAGGAGUCCCCAGCCAGGAACUUCGACGCUCGAGCGACUCCAAGCUAUGGUUAUGUGUGGCUGGAAGUCGUGAGACUCCGGCUAGAAUCUCAAUUAUAGGAGCACUUGAAAAAUGCAAACUGUGCACAGGUGUUGUUGCUCUACGGUUCCGACACCCGAUGCUUUCAGAAAGCAGCGUAUUCCGCAUCUUGGUGUGUGAAACGCGCGGUCACCCUGCGAAGAACAGUUGUCGCGUGCACGCGCAAACGCGUAAUGUGAAUGCGCACGGCUGUUAACGAAUCAUUGGUUAAUCAGGAGCACUAGGUCAUUUAUUUACGUAUUUAUUUAUUAAUUUUUCACGUUACUUAGGACCAAUAUUUAUAUAAUUAUAGGCAAUUGAAAUCCCGAAUGUACAUCCUCGAACCUGGUGCAUGCAAUGAAGCGGAAUAGCAAUUUGAAGUCGAUCCAAUGGUGCAAAUCAAUGCAGGGAGGGAAGUCGUCAUCGUGACUCGAGAGUGCUACCCCGCCCUCUAAACUAUAGUCUUCUCACAAUCAGAUCCAGCCUGGUUUACAAGGACAGGCAGCAAGGCAUGGAACAACCAUGUCUUUCGAGUAAUGCAGCGCCAAGAAAUCAAAGUCAACAACCGGGAGCGUGACCUUCCAGUCGCACAAGCAGAAAGAAUUCGGUCAGGGGUGUGAAUGUGUGAUGGGAAACCGGGCGUAAAUUUUUUUGCAUUAUCACGGCCUGCAAGCUCUCGCAGGGGGGGUUGAUGUGUCACGACACAACUGCGCUCUCAGAUGCAUCGGCAGCUCAAAUGAUGGGGCGGGUUCUCAAACCUCCCCAAGCUGACUCGGUUAUUGUUGGUGAAGAAUGCGUCAAGAUUGGCUGCACCUGGAUGAGGUCCACCGCGCCUGAUUUACAGCAAGUAACCCAUCCCAGCAAAUGGUGCUGCAAACAAGGGGCCAGAGCACCAAAAGGAAUCGCGAAACAUGCGCAGAUCUGGGAGAUAGAAAGGUCCUCCCUCAUCGGAACUGCCAUAUACUUGUGUCCGCAUUUCGAUGCCAUGUGGCGGUCAAGCUGUAUCCUGUUCCAAGCUUGCCUUCCGGAAUCAUCGAAGAUACUCAUUUUCAGUCAUGAGCCCUCCACUCCGUUCACUUCUUCCACGAACGAAACCUCCUUGUUCAGUUACUGCAGCCCAGCGUUUACACUGGAUCAUUAUCAGCACUGCAUUCAGGUGCUUUGACUUUUCGGUGCCAUGAUAGAGCACUAGUAUGAGGCGUCGGAAUGUUCGAGGCUAUUGCCAUUUAUAAGCGCGUGAAGCAUAAUUUUGUAUACUUACUGGGCUCUUCGAGUGCUUGUGUGGCCAUGGUUAAGGCACACCAUUGUCCGUUUUCACUUCCAACUUUUAUUUCCAUGCUUUUCCCCCACGCAAAUUGAGUUGUCACACCAAGUUUGAAGUGGAGGGGGAGGGCAAAAACAUUUUUUUGACACAUCAAAGGAAUGUUUUCCAGGAUGCUCUUGUGGAUGAAUCCCAGUAUGAUGGCUGUCGAUUGAGAAGUAUGUCCAUCGGGGACGUCCAUCCAUGAAUAUAAACCCUCCAAUCCAAAAAUUCAUCGACAUGGGACACCCCAGCGAGACAAAACAGAAGCAGCAGUCCAUGGGCGUCGACACAAUAGUUUGCGAGGUGCCAACGAGUGAGCUCUCACAGCUGAAAGGAGAGCGAGAGUGAGAGUCUGCAAAAGCUUUGCGCGAUGUACUUUGGUGGGGGAUGUGGGGCCGUCCCAGCCUGCUACUUUCCGCCACUGCGGUGCAUGCGCGAUACUUGGGCAGAUAAGAAAUCCCGAGAGCAGGAAAUUUAUGUGGAAUCGGAGGGCACAAGUGCUUCUGAAGGACCCUGUUGGAAAAACAGAAAAACAAAAAACAAAAAAUAGUGGGCACUUGAGAGCCUGCCAUUCAACCAUCACAUGCAUGGAGGUAUUACCUCACAAAUGCUGUCGAGAUUAUUGUUGAUAAGCAAGGCAUGUUCCUCAUGAGAUUGCCAUUAUUCCUCUUCAUCUUCCUCUCGAUGUCCCUAGCCACGUCGCAUCUUAUCGAGGAUCGGGACGUUGAAGGAUUUGGACCUCAAAUGCCAUCGAAGAUUCAAUAUAUGGAUCAAUAAAUACUUGGAUAAGGAGCUUUGAUUCAAUGGGGGCGUUUUUUCUCCUAAAUUAUUAUUGUUGUUGUUGUUGUUGUUGUUAUUAUUAUUAUUAUUAUUAUUAAUACUACUCGUUGUUGCUUGUAAAGAGGUUCCGAUCGCUCCAUGAGAUACCAGUCCCCGGUCUUGAACAUCGAUGUGUUGCAAACUCAUGUUGGCGUACCCGUUUGUGUGUGUUAAAUAGCUGUACUACAACGACUUGAGUAGUUCUUCGACAAAUGGGUGAAAUCAUUUAGUACCAUUCCAUGAUGGUACAUGUUUUAUAGAACUCCUUUUCCUCUGGGAUUUUAAGAGAUAUUAACUGAAGAGGGUUCCCGUAGGUCAAAGGGACUGUUGGGUCUGCCGCUCGUUGGAGACUUGUUAGAACGGGCUUCACGCAUGAAAUUCGGAGGCUUGAGAAGGUUGGUGAAAUUUGGUGCGUGCUGCGCAAGUUCGAAAUUUACCGUCAACAAGCAACACUAUGUGGUAAAUCGGGACGACGUGGAGACGGAUAGUUCUAGGAUCUGCUUGGCAAAUGAUGUGCCGCAACCGAAGCUGGUUUAUCAAAGCAGGGAUACGAUUACUUCGAGCCAGAACUACCGUGGGAAAGUUUGGUGGUGAAAAAUCUGGUGGUGAUACAUCUGGGAAGAAUCAAGCUACGAAGAGGCAGGGAGGGAUCUUCAAUGGAAUCGCCUUGUCAUCGUCCACACAAAUGAGCUGGCAUGUACAUUUACUUGUCAACCGUGGAAAGGUAGUAUCAAAUGGCAGUUGUUAUUUUCAGUGGUGAUAACAAUUACAGCUCAAAACUUUAUCAGUAGCUGUGUUGCAGGAAGGGGCAGGAAGGGCCUCAUUCUCAAUAUUUACUAAAAAGAACAAACAUGAAACAUAUCUCAACUUUGUUACCUCACAUUGUUUUUGCUAUUCUUGAUGCAUAGUUUUAGAUGGAGGGAGAGCGAGUAAGAGAGAGACAGUGAGAGGCCUACAGAACCCGAGGAGAAAUAGGGAGGUAUGUUUCGUCCUGUUGUGGCUUCCUGGGUAGAUCCAUUGUUCUUCUCAGAUUGAGGAAGAUAAGGAGGUGGCGUUUAUUCUGUCGUGCUGCCAACAGAAAUUGUGGAGCGAAUCCAGGACGGAGCUGGGGAGAAAGAACAUUCUCGUCAACGACAUAGACUGAUUCCCCGAAUGUAGUACCUCUACCUCGUUCCAACCUCUACAUGUAUGGGCAGCAGGCUGACUUACCGUCACUGUUACAAACCACCGAACGUCCCACCUGUAGCCCUCUAAAUCUGCCCUCCUCCCACUCCACGUCGAUUCAAUCUCUCUUGCUUUAUGCAAAAUGGACCCGUGAUACCAUCACAGACCGCACCGUUAUUAACGUUAACACUAAAUAAUCUGAACAUUCAUUGAGUUGUCUGGCUCACUGCUGUACAAGUCCUCCGAGAGAACAUCUUGCCAAUUGCAUGAAUUCCUGAA